GACGAACGCUGGCGGCGUGCCUAAUACAUGCAAGUCGAGCGAACAGAGAAGGAGCUUGCUCCUUUGACGUUAGCGGCGGACGGGUGAGUAACACGUGGGCAACCUACCUUAUAGUUUGGGAUAACUCCGGGAAACCGGGGCUAAUACCGAAUAAUCUGUUUCACCUCAUGGUGAAAUAUUGAAAGACGGUUUCGGCUGUCGCUAUAGGAUGGGCCCGCGGCGCAUUAGCUAGUUGGGGAGGUAACGGCUCACCAAGGCGACGAUGCGUAGCCGACCUGAGAGGGUGAUCGGCCACACUGGGACUGAGACACGGCCCAGACUCCUACGGGAGGCAGCAGUAGGGAAUCUUCCACAAUGGGCGAAAGCCUGAUGGAGCAACGCCGCGUGAGUGAAGAAGGAUUUCGGUUCGUAAAACUCUGUUGUAAGGGAAGAACAAGUACAGUAGUAACUGGCUGUACCUUGACGGUACCUUAUUAGAAAGCCACGGCUAACUACGUGCCAGCCGCCGCGGUAA
rnacentral:rRNA from 1 species